UACGUAGGGUGCGAGCGUUGUCCGGAAUUACUGGGCGUAAAGAGCUCGUAGGUGGUUUGUCGCGUUGUUCGUGAAAACUCACAGCUCAACUGUGGGCGUGCGCGCGAUACGGGCAGACUGGAGUACUGCAGGGGAGACUGGAAUUCCUGGUGUAGCGGUGGAAUGCGCAGAUAUCAGGAGGAACACCGGUGGCGAAGGCGGGUCUCUGGGCAGUAACUGACGCUGAGGAGCGAAAGCGUGGGGAGCGAACGGG
rnacentral:rRNA from 1 species